AGCGGUGCGUACAUUUCGGAAGGGGAGCGCUUGUGAGGAUUGGAUUGCAAAAUGGGGAUUCCUUCAAUGCAACUCGAUGCAGCUGAUGCGCGUGACUGAAAGUGCUUAAUCAAUCUCAGUUUCCUCUGCGAACAACUGAAGAUGUUGGUCUCUACUCUACGGCUACAAGGCAUGCCUUCCUUAAAUUUCCCCUCUUUCCUCCGUCCUCUUCUUCUCCCUUCCUUCUCUCUUCACCUCUCUCCCUCCGUCUCAACUUCUUCCUUCAUUCCCAUUCUCCAAAUCCUAGCCACGUCUCUGAUGUUGUUGCUACAUUCAUUCGCUUGCUCCGUCAGGGUCCCCCUUCCUCCAUAUUCGAAAUCACCAAACGUUUAGGAGCCAUUGCCAAGAUGAAGAAGUACCCCAUUGCUAUGUCACUUUGUUUUUAGGUGGAGUUAAAGGGUUUCACUCCAUCUUUAGUUUUUUUGGACAUUUUGAUCAACUGUUACUGCCAUGUGGGUCAGAUGCAUUGUUCUUUCUCUGCCUUGGGCAAGAUUUUCAAGAUGGGUUAAUGGGUUUUCUACCGGAUAUUCUCACUCAGACUACACUAAUGAAGGGACUCUAUAUCAAUAACGUGGUUGGGGAAGCAUUGGAUUUUCACGAUGACUCAUCGUGAAAGGAUUUUUUUUUUUUUUAAUGAAGUUAGUUACGCCACAAUAAUCAAUGGAUUGCGUACAAUGGGGAACGCAAGAUCUGCUGUCAAAUUACUACACAAGUUGCCGAGACUUGCAAUGAAUAUUAGUUAUGUACAACACAGUCAUCAAUGGGCUUUGUAAGGAUGAAUUUGCAAGUGAGGCGCUUUACUUAUUUUGAGAAUAUGAUUGGCCAGGGAAUAUUUCCCAAUACGGUUACAUACAACACUCUAAUCGAUGGAUUUUACAAAAUUCAUCAUUGGAAAGAAGUUACUCAGUUCGUCAAGAUAUGUUCCAAAGAGGCAUCAACCUAGAUGUUGUCACCCUUGGUGGAUGCAUUUUGUAAGGAUGGAAGGAUCACAGAAGCUCAAGCCAUAUUUGCCAAAAUCUUCAAGUUUGGUUAAAAGGCCACUGUUGUUUCCUAUAACAGAUUAAUGGAUGGAUCUUGUCUAAUGAAACAAUGUAAAGGAAGCAGUGGAAUUAUUUAAUAAGAUGAUCAAAAGUGGUUUGAGACCAGAUGUUCUCCGUUAUACUGUUUUGGUUCAUGGAUAUUGCAAGAAUAAAAGGUUGGAUGAGGGCAUAAAUCUCUUUAAGAAAAUGCGUUCGAGAAAUCUGGUUUCCAACCCUGUAAGUUAUAAUUCUCCGAUUGACGGUUUGCGUAAAGAAGGAAGAAUUCAUUUGAUUUUAAUCUUCUGGAUGAGAUGCGUCAAAGUGGUCAUCACCCAAAUGUAAUCACUUAUGCUACGUUGUUACAUGCAUUAUGCAGAAGGUGGGAUCUUGAUCAUGCAAUUGCAUUAUUUGAACAUAUUGUCAGAGAAAAAAAUCCGACCUACUGUUUGGACCUAUACUAUUCUUAAGGAUGGUUUGUGCACAGGUGAAAAAUUAGAUAAGGCGUGAGAGAUUUUCCAGUAUCUUUUGAUGGAAGGUCACCAUCUAAAUGUUGUGUCUUAUACUGUUAUGGUCAAAGGACUUUGCAAAGAGGGUUUGUUUGAUGAGGCAAAGACGCUGCUUGAUAAAAUGGAAGACAGUGGCUGCAUCCCUGACAAAAUAACCUUUAUAAGUAUCAUUGGAUCUCUUCUUGAUAAAAAAGAAGAUGACGAGGCUGAGAAGCUUCUUCGUAAAAUGGUUUCCAAGGGCUUGUCAAAAAUUUGAAACAAGGUCGCUUGCAAGAGAGAUGUUGGACGAAUCUGGCAUUACCAGUAAUGUCAAGAUCAAUAUCUUUAAGCCUUUGUUUGACUCUUGCUGACACAUACAUAGUAUAUGCCAUUGUUGGGACGCCAACUUUCUACACUGACAUACCCUUAAUUUGAUUGUUGUGUGGAACCGGGUCUGCCAGAUAUUGCAAGGUGGCAGUGGAAAAAAGCUUUUGUUCAUAUUUGCCGGUCUGUCUAGAAUGCUAGGUGCAAGGGAGCAAUUGAAGGAAUCAAGACUGAAGCGAGAGAUAUUUUUCACUCACGCAUACACAAACCCAUGGAGGAUUCAGCAGUACGAGGAUCUAAAAGUCUUGUCCUGCAGACAUACAUGUGUGAAGUUUCCAGGUGGCAGCCUCUGCCAGGGGAUACAGUUGAUGUUGAUGGGUCUGUUGAUGCAAGUGGACACGCUGCUUGUGGGGGCGUCAUGCAAGAUUCUCUAGCAGAUUGGAUAAUAGGAUUCAAGCAUAGCCUUGGCUCAAUCUUUGUAAAGUUACUCUCCACAUGGAUUCCGUAGAGGCCAUCAAUCUCGAAGGAGGUCAGUUCCAUCCACUGAAACCUGAAAUUCAACAGAACCGCAUGCAGCUCUCGACGUUUGAAUCCUUAAAGCAGAAGCAUUUCUUAAGCAUCAGUAUUCCUUGAUGGCCGAAAAAAGAAGAGCCUAUAUUCCCCGUGAAGAUGCUCCCAAGAGCUACAAAGAUUGGCUUAAAUGGAAUGGUGAACAGGAACGGGGUCUGCCAAAUAUUGCAAGUGGCAGUGGAAAAAAGCUUUUAUUCAUAUUUGCUGGUCUCUCUAGAAUGCUAGGUGCGAGGGACAUUUGAUGACAGAAGCGAGACAUAUUUUUCACUCACGUAUACACCUACUCAUGGAGGAUUCACCAGGACGAGGAUCUACAAGUCUAGUUCUGCAGACACGCACUUGUGAAGAUGCUAGGUGGCAGCCUCCGCCAGGGGAUACCUUAAGAGUUGAUGUUGACGGGUCUGUUGAUGCAAGUGGAAAUGCAGCUUGUGGGGGUGUCAUGCGAGAUUCUCUGCGAAAUUGGAUGAUAGCCUCGGAUUCCAAAAAUGCAUUGCAGCAGAAAUUCUUGCAAUCAAGACUGCUCAAUCUUAGUAAAGUUACUCUCCACACGGAUUCCACAGAGGCCCUCAAUCUCAUUCUGAGAGGAGGUCAAUUCCAUCCACAGAAACCUGAAAUUCAACAGAUUAGGUCCCUUCUGAAUCAGAAUUGUGAAGUGACUUUGUGUCAUUUUUAUUGUGAAUAGCUGGUUUGCGUGGAUAUGAACACAAAGAAUGCUCAUUUUUGUGGGAAAGAUAUCCCACUCUUGGAAGGAGCUCCUAUUGAAUGCCAAUUGCCAACAGUUUUUUGCUUAUGAGAGAGCUUAGCUACUGUAGCUCGGACGUGACCUCUUGGUCUGCCUUGGUUCUUGGCUUUGUUUUUUAAGCUCUGCUCGCCAUGCAAUCCCAAAAAAUAUAUUUAUCAAAGAGGAGUUCAACCUACUCAGCACGCCUACAUUAUUCUUAUUACUGGUUUGCAGAAAGGUGGAAGACACAGCGGGAGAAACAUAUAUCUGCAUCUUUUGAUCCAAGGCCACACCAUAUUGAUGUUAAAUCCAUGUUCUGAUCAGAAGACUUUGCAAAGAGAGUUUGUUUGGUGAGGCGAAGUCCUAACUUGAUAGAAUGAGUUAUGGGGCAGAGAAGCUUCUUCGUAGAAUGGUUUCUUAAGGCCUGUCUGUCGAGAAAAAAGCAAGGUGGAUCGUUCUUGCGACUAAUGGUAUACUUGUAUCAGCAUUCUAAUUCUGGGAACAAUUAGUGUCUAAUGUUCUAGUCUUUAAAGUUAACGUUGGUGCUUGUUUAUUACAUGUGUAACAUGUACAUUAUAUGUUAUGUAGAGCCAUCGAUAAAGGUUGGACCCGACUGGUUAUUUUUUUAGAUUCUGUAUUUUUAGGAGGUUGAACUUAAAAAGCCAAAGGAUUUUAGUAUAAAAGGAUUUUUAGACUC